GCGUCCAUAGCUCAACGGAUAGAGCAUCUGUCUUCGGAACAGAGGAUGGGGGUUCGAUUCCCUCUGGACGCA
rnacentral:tRNA from 1 species